rnacentral:rRNA from 1 species
AGCGUACACGGUGGAUGCCCUGGCAGUCAGAGGCGAUGAAGGGCGUGCUAAUCUGCGAUAAGCGCCGGUAAGGUGAUAUGAACCGUUAUAACCGGCGAUACCCGAAUGGGGAAACCCAGUGUGACUCGUCACACUAUCAUUAACUGAAUCCAUAGGUUAAUGAGGCGAACCGGGGGAACUGAAACAUCUAAGUACCCCGAGGAAAAGAAAUCAACCGAGAUUCCCCCAGUAGCGGCGAGCGAACGGGGAGGAGCCCAGAGCCUGAAUCAGCAUGUGUGUUAGUGGAAGCGUCUGGAAAGGCGCGCGAUACAGGGUGACAGCCCCGUACACAAAAGCGCAUGUGCUGUGAGCUCGAUGAGUAGGGCGGGACACGUGGUAUCCUGUCUGAAUAUGGGGGGACCAUCCUCCAAGGCUAAAUACUCCUGACUGACCGAUAGUGAACCAGUACCGUGAGGGAAAGGCGAAAAGAACCCCGGCGAGGGGAGUGAAAAAGAACCUGAAACCGUGUACGUACAAGCAGUGGGAGCCCCACCACCAAAGCNGCUUUGGGGUGGGGUGACUGCGUACCUUUUGUAUAAUGGGUCAGCGACUUAUAUUCUGUAGCAAGGUUAACCGAAUAGGGGAGCCGGAGGGAAACCGAGUCUUAAUUGGGCGUUAAGUUGCAGGGUAUAGACCCGAAACCCGGUGAUCUAGCCAUGGGCAGGUUGAAGGUUGGGUAACACUAACUGGAGGACCGAACCGACUAAUGUUGAAAAAUUAGCGGAUGACCUGUGGCUGGGGGUGAAAGGCCAAUCAAACCGGGAGAUAGCUGGUUCUCCCCGAAAGCUAUUUAGGUAGCGCCUCGUGAAUUCAUCUCCGGGGGUAGAGCACUGUUUCGGCUAGGGGGCCAUCCCGGCUUACCAACCCGAUGCAAACUGCGAAUACCGGAGAAUGUUAUCACGGGAGACACACGGCGGGUGCUAACGUCCGUCGUGAAGAGGGAAACAACCCAGACCGCCAGCUAAGGUCCCAAAGUCAUGGUUAAGUGGGAAACGAUGUGGGAAGGCCCAGACAGCCAGGAUGUUGGCUUAGAAGCAGCCAUCAUUUAAAGAAAGCGUAAUAGCUCACUGGUCGAGUCGGCCUGCGCGGAAGAUGUAACGGGGCUAAACCAUGCACCGAAGCUGCGGCAGCGACGCUUAUGCGUUGUUGGGUAGGGGAGCGUUCUGUAAGCCUGUGAAGGUGGCCUGUGAGGGUUGCUGGAGGUAUCAGAAGUGCGAAUGCUGACAUAAGUAACGAUAAAGCGGGUGAAAAGCCCGCUCGCCGGAAGACCAAGGGUUCCUGUCCAACGUUAAUCGGGGCAGGGUGAGUCGACCCCUAAGGCGAGGCCGAAAGGCGUAGUCGAUGGGAAACGGGUUAAUAUUCCCGUACUUGGUGUUACUGCGAAGGGGGGACGGAGAAGGCUAUGUUGGCCGGGCGACGGUUGUCCCGGUUUAAGCGUGUAGGUGUGUGUUCCAGGUAAAUCCGGUUCACUUUAACACUGAGGCGUGAUGACGAGGCACUACGGUGCUGAAGCAACAAAUGCCCUGCUUCCAGGAAAAGCCUCUAAGCAUCAGGUAACAUCAAAUCGUACCCCAAACCGACACAGGUGGUCAGGUAGAGAAUACCAAGGCGCUUGAGAGAACUCGGGUGAAGGAACUAGGCAAAAUGGUGCCGUAACUUCGGGAGAAGGCACGCUGACAUGUAGGUGAAGUGAUUUACUCAUGGAGCUGAAGUCAGUCGAAGAUACCAGCUGGCUGCAACUGUUUAUUAAAAACACAGCACUGUGCAAACACGAAAGUGGACGUAUACGGUGUGACGCCUGCCCGGUGCCGGAAGGUUAAUUGAUGGGGUCAGCGCAAGCGAAGCUCCUGAUCGAAGCCCCGGUAAACGGCGGCCGUAACUAUAACGGUCCUAAGGUAGCGAAAUUCCUUGUCGGGUAAGUUCCGACCUGCACGAAUGGCGUAAUGAUGGCCAGGCUGUCUCCACCCGAGACUCAGUGAAAUUGAACUCGCUGUGAAGAUGCAGUGUACCCGCGGCAAGACGGAAAGACCCCGUGAACCUUUACUAUAGCUUGACACUGAACAUUGAGCCUUGAUGUGUAGGAUAGGUGGGAGGCUUUGAAGUGUGGACGCCAGUCUGCAUGGAGCCGACCUUGAAAUACCACCCUUUAAUGUUUGAUGUUCUAACGUGGACCCGUGAUCCGGGUUGCGGACAGUGUCUGGUGGGUAGUUUGACUGGGGCGGUCUCCUCCUAAAGAGUAACGGAGGAGCACGAAGGUUGGCUAAUCCUGGUCGGACAUCAGGAGGUUAGUGCAAUGGCAUAAGCCAGCUUGACUGCGAGCGUGACGGCGCGAGCAGGUGCGAAAGCAGGUCAUAGUGAUCCGGUGGUUCUGAAUGGAAGGGCCAUCGCUCAACGGAUAAAAGGUACUCCGGGGAUAACAGGCUGAUACCGCCCAAGAGUUCAUAUCGACGGCGGUGUUUGGCACCUCGAUGUCGGCUCAUCACAUCCUGGGGCUGAAGUAGGUCCCAAGGGUAUGGCUGUUCGCCAUUUAAAGUGGUACGCGAGCUGGGUUUAGAACGUCGUGAGACAGUUCGGUCCCUAUCUGCCGUGGGCGCUGGAGAACUGAGGGGGGCUGCUCCUAGUACGAGAGGACCGGAGUGGACGCAUCACUGGUGUUCGGGUUGUCAUGCCAAUGGCACUGCCCGGUAGCUAAAUGCGGAAGAGAUAAGUGCUGAAAGCAUCUAAGCACGAAACUUGCCCCGAGAUGAGUUCU